CCUACGGGAGGCAGCAGUGAGGAAUAUUGGUCAAUGGGCGCGAGCCUGAACCAGCCAAGUAGCGUGAAGGAUGACUGCCCUACGGGUUGUAAACUUCUUUUAUAAAGGAAUAAAGGCAGGUACGCGUGUCUUUCUGUAUGUAUCUUACGAAUAAGGAUCGGCUAACUCCGUGCCAGCAGCCGCGGUAAUACGGAGGAUUCGAGCGUUAUCCGGAUUUAUUGGGUUUAAAGGGAGCGUAGGUGGUCUGUUAAGUUAGAUGUGAAAUCCUGAGGCUCAACUGUAGAAUUGCAAUUGAUACUGGUAGGCUAGAGUGCAGUUGAGGUAGGCGGAAUGCAUGGUGUAGCGGUGAAAUGCUUAGAUAUCACAAAGAACACCGAUUGCGAAGGCAGCUUACUAAGCUACCACUGACGUUGAGGCACGAAAGUGUGGGUAGCAAACAGGAUUAGAUACCCCUGUAGUC
rnacentral:rRNA from 1 species